GGGGGGCUGUAAUGCUUCCUCCUCUCUUCGAUCUCUUCACCUGCAAAUCCAAAAAAAAACACAGCAAGGGCAGUCGAUUUUAAGUUUUUUUCUUAGUUUUUCAAAUCUGUUUUUUUUGUUCUUUCUUUUCAGAUCUGCAGUUCAUCCCUUCUCCUUCUUCGGAUCUGCUUCUCCUUCUCUUCGUCUCGGUUUCGGAUCUGCUUUUAUCUGCAGAUCAGCCCGUGUGUUUCUUCUUCUUCUUCUCUCCUCUGCUUCAGGCGGCCGAUCUGGUGGUUGCAAAGGGGAUCGCGGCUGUGGUCGCUGCUGCUGUCGUCCGUCGCUGCUGUGGAGGGCGAUGGGUCGACUGUUGCCCGGUGGCUGAGGGAAGGGAGGCCUGAUCCGGUGUGAGGCUGAGCUCGGCCUGUUGAAGCUACGGUGGAGCUGGCGGCUGCUGGUC
rnacentral:lncRNA from 1 species